rnacentral:lncRNA from 1 species
UCCAUGUAUGCUAGAUGUAAGACAUUGAACGGUGGACUUUCACAUUGGCAAACCAUUACAGAUUGAGUGAUGCUCACCAGCUUUGGAUAUUUCAAAAACUUUUGGACAGCAAGUGAACUUCGGAAGGUCCAGCUUAAAACAUUUAAAUGCUUCAAACCCAGCAAUUCCUUCAUCAAAGGUUCAGCAUCAUCACAUAGAACGUUACCUUCUAUUACGCUCCAGCGACCGCGUGAAAGCAACCUGAGUACCUCCAACUUUGAAAAGCCAGAUAUCAAUUGAUGUGGAAUUAUAGACAAAAACCGUGUAUAGUCCAAGUUCAAAUAUCUCAACUUCUCCAACGCCUUCAGCUCUUGCGGCAACCCAGUUAUGUUAGUCGAUGAUAGAUCAAGAUGAUGUAAUGAAACCAAACCUGAAAUCCCUGAAGGUAGUGUUCUUAGGGGAAAAUUUCCUCUUAGACUUAAUACUCUAAGAGAAGACAUCGAUUGAAAGAAGCCAUCAGUAAUCUCCUCAAUCCGAUUUCCACCCAGAAGUAAAGUUACGAGGCGCGGACACGUGGGAAUUUCCAAUAAGCUCCUAAUUCCAUUUCCCAUCAGAGAUACCCGUUUGGCACCUUCCCAUUCUUCAAACUUUGGUGCUUCGGUCAAUUCAACUCCAGCGCGAACCAGAAAGUUCUGCUCCUCCUUGUCUACCGUGCACGCUAUCCAUAAUGACAUCUCACGAAUCAUAUCGUGCAUCUUUACAUGAUCAUCGCCUUCUUCCUCCAAUAAGCAUGCAUGAAGAAGGUCAUCAAUAAAAUCGCAUCCACCAUCAAAAUCAUAUACAAAUCCUUCACUAAUCCAAUAAUCAAUCAAAUCCCUUUUAGGAAUUUCGUAGUCUUCAGGAUAUAAACAACAAUACAGGAGACAGGAACGAAGUUCGUCCGUAGACAAACUAUCAUAGCUGAACUUUAAACGCGAAAACACCUCUUCUUUCAUACCUGAGAAUUUAGAAGCUGAUGUUCUCAUUUUGUGAAUUGCACGUUUCCAAUCUCCAACUUUCCUUUGGCUUUUCAUGGCUCGACCCACUGUUUUAAGCGCUAGCGGCAACCCACCACACUCUCUUGCCAAGGUUUCGGCUAGCUCUGGAAUACCGGUAUGACUGUCCAGAGUGGAUCUGUCGACCAUCUCCUGAAAUAAUUCCCAGGCUUUAUCAUGCGCCAAACUAUACACUUCCACCUUUUCAGCGUCCAUUUGAUCGCAAACACCAGCUGAACGAGUUGUCAAGACUACUUUGGACCCAUCAUUUAGUUUUUGAAGAGGGACACCCAAUUCUGUUAAAUGAAUGGGUUUCCAUAUAUCAUCCAAUAACAACACAAACUUCCUUCUGCUUAAAAUGCUAGCGAUGUCCACAGCCUUGUCUUGAGGACUUUUUUUCGCCCAGCUUUGGUCUUCUGAAAAGCCAAUCCUUUUUCCAAUGUCAUCUUGAAGUGUUGACGCAGCCGCCCAGAUAACAACAUCAAAAUUAUGCUGUUGAUGGCAGAAGUUGUUGUUGACUUGUUUUAAAAGGGUAGUUUUGCCGACUCCCCCUAUACCAUACAAGCCGAUAAUUCCCCUGUUAUUUUCCUCAUCAGUGAUACAUCUCCAAACUCGAUCAAGUAAUAAUUCUUGACCAACAACUGUGUGCUCAACAGGUAAUUCAAUUGCUGCACCAUCCGGCGCCUUCUCAACAACCACUUCAAUUUUUUCUCCGUCUUUCUUUAAAUUGAUCACUCGAUCCGUCAACUCGACCACCUGAGUCCCGUAAUUGUAGCUUGAAACGAAGUUUUUGGAACAGAGGCCUCCAAGGCACAAUCUAUCGAUUUCAUGAGCUCUAACUCGUUCCAGCUCGGUAAAUUCAGUUUCCAGUUUUUGCACAUCUUCAAGCCACCCUGCGACCUGGUUCGUUCGUCUGGUUCGAGGUCGUUGUUCUUCGACCUCAACCUUGGUCUUCAGAUCGUCCCUUGCUCGAGUCAAUUUGUGCAAUUCAGUCUCCAAGACCCGAAGGUUUUUUUCGAGACCCCAUACAUAAUUUGCUUGUUCACCAACGCAGUUUGAAGUUCGAUCAAAUAAGUCUGCUGGUAAGAAGGUUGAGAUUAGGUUACCCAUUGUCGUUGACGAAAAGAGGAAGAGAAGCAACGAGUACAAUGAAAAGAAUUAAGCUAAUUUUUACUUAAAUUCUUAAGAAUUGCUGUCAAAUGCAAACAGAGUAUGAGAAUCAGGUCUUUAUUGAUUAUGAUGACUUGAAUGAAAAUGAAAUACAGAGCUUUGCUAGUUUACAUACAGAGACAAAAAAUAAUGACAGCUAGCCUAAGGGGUAUUACACGGAAGUAAUCAAAAUUGAUCCGUGAAUAUAGCAAUUGUGAACCAAUCACAUUAAGCUUCUAGAAGAUGCAACUAUUCAAUGCACAUGCGCUGCUAUUCUUCAACAUAACAGUUUUGCCAGCUCAACAAAUCCAACUCACAGAAUCAAGGUCAACCGUUGACUCUUCACAGCUGCUGCUUUCAACAAUUUUUAGAGAACCACAACACCAAAAUAAAAAUAUGAUACAUUUGUUGCUUUAUUCAUUAUGUCAAAUAUCAAGAAUAUAAUGAUACGUUUGCACGUCAUAUAAAAUUUGUAUUUCAACCAAGUAAUCACAUAGUUAAUAUUAAAUCUUAUCAUUUGUUAUCUAAGUGAUAAAUUUAUAUUGACAAUAUAUUAUUUAGAAUAAAAAUUUUCUACCUUAGGUUUGGAUGAAGAUCCAAAAUAUUAAGUCAAUGAUAGAUAGAUAAAAAAUAAAAUAAAAUAAAUUUUAACAUUAAUUUUUUAUUUAAUAAAAAGUAAAUUCAAUACAGAAUUCUAAUCCCUUAAUCUCUCUCCAUCCACGGCAAAAGAAAGCAGCAACUCAACUCUCUUUAAAGGCUAUGGAGGUUCUCUUGCGACCUCUCUUCAGCAUACCCUCCAGAACAUUAACCCCACCACCGCCAUCACCACCCUGUUAAACACGUUUUCAAAACGUGUAUAAUGUGGCCAUCUAAUUUAUUUUUAAUUAUUAGUUUUCUAAUUUAAAUUGAUAUUUAUCUUUAUUUAGUUUACUUUUAAAACGUUGGGUUUGGUUUAAAAUUUGAAUAAAGAUAAAACAUCUCUUCCUAAUAUCUCUCAUACACGUUACGGGUGGUUUACUAAAAUCAAGGGGAUAACGGCUCAUAACUUCCUCUUUUAUUUAAACUUGUCAUCUUGAUGGGAGAUGUUUUACGGUCACGUUUUUUCAAGAAAAAUAUUGAGGGUCCCUGGUCUAACAACAGAGCCUGUGUAUACCAUCUACUCUCAGGAAUUAAGUGUUGGAUAGACUAGAAAAUUCUGAGUACAAAGCAUGGCUUGUUUUCGUUGGUUUUGUUUGCAUUCCAGUAGAAAGGUUGUGUACAAUUGAAUUUGAUAACUAUGGCAGGAGGUAAGUUUUCUAACUUGUGCAUGAUGAAUAUAGUCUUUUACACCCCACCAAUCAUCUCACUCUCAAAACUCUCCAUUUUUGCCUCCAUUAAUUCCCACUCUCUCCAAAACCCUGAUUUCUUCCUCUUCUCGUUUCCUCUCGCCCGCCCCUGGUACGCCAAUUUCCAUUCUCUCGCUCUUUUUUUUGGCAAUUUUGGCUUGAGUUUUUUGGGUUUUUGGUAAUUUAUCUUUAAUUUUUGUGGGUAUCCUUCGUUUUUUUAGUUAUCAUACAUGAGUUGAGUAGUCGUAGACGAUUUUUUAUUGUUUUAAACUGAACGGAUUCUUUGUAUUUCGAAAAUGAAAUUCAUUGUUUGUGAAGUAACUUUUAAAGCUGUUGAGUUGAGUUUGAAAACUUAAUGUGCUUAAAUUUAUCUAUGUGGAUUUGAAUCAGUUAGACAAGCAGCACAGGAGAGCCAAUCGAGCGCGGAGGUGAAUGCCGAUAGAAGAGAAUGGUUUAUGCAAGGUACAUUAAUAGUAAUUUGAUCUGAUGCCAAUUUUAUUUCUAUAUUAAUUUAUUAGAUUAUGUAAUGUUAUAAAUUCUUUGUUCAAAAUGUAGAGCUUGGAAAUUUAGUCGGUACAUUAUGGUAAUGAAUGUAGCUUGUGUAUCUGUUCAAAUUUAUGUCUAGCUUUGCUGUUUUGGUAAUGGUUUGUUUAGUAUAAAUUUUGUGUUGGUUAUGAUGUUGUUUAGUGGUUUGGAUCACUCGUGCUCUUUUGGCCCCCACUAAAAUUAAUUUUUCAUCAAAGGAUAUGAAUAGUUGUUCGAUGGAAACUUAAUGGAAGAUGUGGGAGCAUCUUUAUGAGUUAAGAUUCCCUGUAGCGAGUAUAUCCUUUGGUGCAUGAGAGUUUAAGUGAUUAUCGUCAUUGUUGAGUUAAACAAUGGGAUUAAUUUUCAUGUUCAUGUAAGGUGAUCAUCGCUAAAGUUAGAGCCAUUAGGUGAUAAAUUGAUACUUCAUUGUGUUGUUAUGUUUGUUAUACUGGAUAAAAAUCCCAGUGAUAGAAUUCAUGUUAGGCGGUUUUGGGUCCUAUUCAAUCCCAAAAGAUGAAUAAGGGGUGAGGCUUUCCCUCACAAUUGUAAAAUCACCACCAUCCUAGUUCACAACCGAUAUAAGACAACCCAACAAUCUCUCCCGCACAUAUUGGGCCUUGGUUCAAAAGCAUGGACACUCGUUUUCACUAGUAGGCUGUUGGACUGAGAUGUUGGUGAAUCUUUUAGUUGAUUUUUUUUUUUUUAUAAAAAGGAAAAGAUUAUGAAGAGAUAAAUACAAUAAAGAAAAAAAGAGAUCAAUAUUGCAAUAAAACAUUUAUGUAGUGAUAUUUUAUAUAAGAAUAAUUUCAUAUAGCUAUAAAAGUAAUGGUCCUAAUUUAUAUUAGGCCAAUUAUAAAUAAGAAUAAAUUUCAUGCUGUAAUAAUUUAUAAUUUUGCUAAAUCUCACCUUAAGGAGCUCACCUCCACGUAGUGUAAAUAUAUAUAUAGAAAAAAAAAAUAUGUUAUAUUACAUUAAGUGAACUUGGGGGUUGUUUGGUACCCCUCUUUACCUGGGAUUGCAUUGUGUUAGCAAUGCAACCCCAUGUUUGGGGUACCAAAUGGCUAUAUUAGCUAAACUCGACAUAUAGUCGGGUUUAGCUAAUGCGUCCAGUUACCGCAUUAGCUUUAGCUUCCUCUUUUUUUUUUUUUUUAUACUUUGUAAUAAUGAUAAAUGAAUAUAAUUUUUAAUUUAAUAUUAUAUAAUAUUAUUUUUACUUUAUAAUUUUAAUAUAAAUUAAUAAAUUUAUUGUUUAAUAAUAUUAUAUUAUAUUUUAAUUUUUAUCAUAGUAAAUGUACAACUAAAAAAUGUAUUAUUUAAUUAUAUUACAUUAAUUAAUAUGUAAAAUUAUAUUAAUUAAUAUAUAUAAUUGAUUAAUUUUUAAUAAGUUAAUAUAACUAAUAAUAAAUACUUAAAUAAUAUAAUAUAAUAUAAUAUUAUUUAAUUUAUUAAAAUAAUUAAACUAGUUAUUUUUAAAUAAUUUAAUAUAACUAAUAAUAAAUAUUUAAAUAUGAAUAAAUUUGAAUAAUAUUAAUUAAAAAUUAAUAAAAUAUAUAAUUAUUAGAUUGUUUAGCACAAUUCAUUUUUUAGCACAAUUCAUUAGUAUUUUCUAAAUAUAUAAUUUAAAUUAGUCACAAAAAAUUAAUACAAUAUAGUGCAAUAUCAAAUAUAAUAUAAUUAAAAAUUAAAUAUAAUACAGUAUAGUACCAAACAUUAUACAACAUUAUUAUAAUACAUUACUAAUACAACACAACAUAAUGCAAUACACCUGCAUUAAAAUAAUGCAAUACAAUAUAAUAUAAUACAGCGUGCCAAACGCACUCUUGUAUCCAUAUAGUACAAAAACAACAUAAGAGAAAAAUGUUAAAGAGAACACAAAAGUUCAGAGACUUUUAAGAUAAUGUUUUAUAUUUGUAACAAGCAUGUGCUAACUUUUUUGAAACCAUGUAUAUUUAUUUUUUCCCUAAGUUACAUGCAUGUAACUUAGCAUUAGCCUCAUUUUAUUAUUAUCUAUACAUUGGAUUUGACAUGUUUCAUUAAUAAUUUAUUACUACAUCUCUAUUAAAAUAAUUGAGGUCCUGCACUUUCAUUGGAAGAUAGGAGAAAAAAAUAAUUGAUAAGAGAAGAAAACAAUUUAAAAUAAAAUUUUAAAAUAUUUAUCAUUACUUAAAAAAAUUAAUUUUCUUUUCCUAAAGUUAUUCCACAGACGGUAGUACAAAAUUAUGUGAUCACGCACGCACACAGUGAUAGGGUAAUUAUUGAAACAAAAAUGAAAUUUGUCUGUUUUCCAUUUGAAAUCUAUUACUAAUAUAAAGGAAAAGAAAAAUCUUUAAUUACUUUUUUUUUUUUUCAUGUAGGGCAAGGCAAACAUCACUAUCUUGUUAAAUUAAUAUUUAAAAUUAUCCCACCAAAUGUAAUUAUAACAAAUUAAAUAAAUAUUUACUAUGAGUUCAGCAUCUGGGUUCCCACUCCAUAAAUAUGCCAGCAUUUUAAAACAAACAAGACUUAGAGUGUGUUUGGGAUUGAGGUGCUGUAGCUUUUAAGCUACAGCUGCUGUGAAAAAAAAACUGUAAUUAUGAAACAAAAUUUAAUAAUAUAUAGUAAAUAUAAAUUUUAAAUAAUAAUUUUGAUAAAAAUAUUAAAGAUAUAAUAAAUUUUAUAUUAUACAAGUGAAAAAUCAUAUUAACAUAGCUUAAAAGCUACAGCAGCUAGUGUUUACCAAACACUACAGCUGCCCAACCUCAAUCCCAAACGCACUCUUAAGCGACAAAUACAAUUUUGUCAAUGAGUAUAAAGGUCGCAUUAUAAGCCAAAGGAGAGCAGUUAAGGGAAGAUAAAAUAUUAUUGUAUUGAACUGGUUAUUUCUCUCUAGGGGUGGCAAAAAAGUCUGGGCUGGUCUAGGCCCGCGGGCCUAAAGCCCGGCCCGUAAGGGUGGGCCCAGAUAUUGGCCUAAAAAUUACAAAGCCCACAUAUGUGGGAUCUGGACAAGGGCUUAGCAAAAAAGCCCGGACUUGGCCCAGGCUUUUUAAAUUUAUGAAUAAAAAAUAAAUUUAAUUUAAAUAAAAAAAGAAAAAACUCAAAAUAUUAAAUUAGUUUAAUUUUUUAUAUUAGUAUUUGUUAUUUUAUUAGGUUGUAUUAUUAAUAUUUUAUGUAUUGGACUAUUAUUCUAUUUUAUAUAUUAGAUGAUUAUCUUUAAUUUAAAUUUUUUCUUAAUUUAAAAAAUAUUUUAUAAUUAAUUUAAAAAGCCCAAGCCCGGCCCAGGCCCGGCCCGAGUUCGGUCCGUCCAAAUUUAAACGGGUUUUUGAAGGGCCUGGACUUCGUUUGAAUGAUGUGGGCUUGGGCCUGGGCUUUGAAAAGCCCGGCCCAAACCCGCAAAUUGCCAUCCCUAUUUCUCUCUCUUCUAUUAUUAAUUUGUUGUUAAUUAUAACCUUUGCGGGAUUUAAAAAAAAGAAAAAGGCCCUUGCGUUUUCAUCAACAUUACACUGCCAAAUGUGAAAUGGAUUGAGAACCACAUGUCCUUAUUAUGCUGCCACUCCACAAAUGUUUAUUUUCCCCUCAUUCUCCUUAGAAGCCAGAGGCAGAGUCAGUCCUGCACCCCUUUACGUAUGCCUUCUCCAUAAAUUAACAUAAACGAUUAGUAUUAGAGCUGGCAAAAUGGGUCAUCGGGUCGUGUUUGUAUUGUGUCAGCUUCGUGUCGUGUCAAAUUUAGGUCGACCCAUACUCGACCCAUUUAAUAAUCGUGUCAAAAUAUUGAGACACAAACCCGACACGGAAAAAUAAUCAGGUUAUCCAAUAACCCGCUAUCUAUAUAUUAAACAAAAGUUACAUCAAAUAUUUACACAUUUUCAUACAUACGUAUGCGCAUACAUACAUACAUAAUUUAUUGAUAUUAUAAAAUAUACAUAUCUACUAAAAUAUUAGACACACUAUUGAGGUUUUAAUUAUAUAUGUGUAAAUAAUAUUAUAUAUCAAUAUUAUAAAAUAUAUAUGUCUACGAAUAUUUUAUACAUUUAUACUAGCUCUAAAUGUAUUUAAAAAUUCAUAAAUAAAAUAUUAUGUCUAUAUUCAUCCUUUUAAAGAAUUAAAAAAAAUCAUCUCUAAUAUUUGAGUUUUGGUGACAAGAAUUUACAAAUUAUUUUAAAAUAGAAAAUAUAAUCGGGUCAUUGAUCGGGUAAAUGGGUCAAGAAUUUUAACUCUAACCCGACACGAAAAAAAAUCGUGUUGACCCGGACCCGACCCAUUUAAUAAUCGUGUUAAAUUCAACGACUCAUACCCAUUUAUUAGUGUUGUGUUCGUAUUGGGUAAUCGGGCCGUGUCAAAUUUUGCCAUAUCUAAUUAGUAUAAGAUGAUUUAACCACACAAUAUGUCAAAUUUACAUUUUGCAAUCAUUGAUACUUGGUGCUACAGUCAAAUUUAUAUUUAUUCAAGGUAGCGGGUUCAAUAAUUAAAUUCACAUAAAAAGAAAGAUGCAUUCACCCUUAAUGGCCCAGGAGCCAACCAAAUUCCGCGUCCGCGAAGUGAGGCACUUUUCUUAAAGUUAUUUCACAGACGGAAGAACAAAAUUCUGUGAUCACGCACAAAGUGAUAGGGCAAUUAUUGAAACAUAAAUAAUGUCUAUUUCCCAUCCGAAAUCUGUUCUAAUAUAAAGGACAAGAAAAAGUUUUAAUUAUUAUUAUUAUUAUUUUUCACGUAGGGCAAGGCAAACAUCACUAUCUUGUUAAAUUAACAUUUAACAUUGUCCCACCAAAUAUAAUUAUAACCAAUUAAAUAAAUAUUUACUAUGAGUUCAGCAUCUGAGUUCCCACUCCAUAAAUAUGCCAGUAUUUUAAAACAAACAAGACUUAAGCGACAAAUACAAUUUUGUCACCGAGUGUAAAGGUCGCAUUUUAAGCCAAAGGAGAGCAGUUAAAAGGAAGAUAAAAUAUUACCGUAUUUCUCUCUCUUCUAUUAUUAGUUUGUUGUUAAUUAUAACCCUUUUCGGGAUUAAAAAAAGAAAAGAAAAAGGCCUUUGCGUUUUCUAUUAGCAUGUGUACAUGUUUAUUUUCUGUGUUAGUAGUGCAGAGUAUAUACUGAACACACUGGACAAAAAGGGUAAUUUGUAAUCAAUUUAGUUUUAUAAACAUUAAUCUCGGAAGUAGUUACUGAACUUCAUGUGGAAAAAAAAAUAAAAAAAGAUAGUCGCUGAGCAAUAAAUCUACAAGUCAUCAAAAUCGAGCAAUUCUAUGGCAAGAAUUCUUUCCAGUGGGAGGAUUCUAAAACCAAGAAUCCACUGCUGAAAUUUUAUUCACUGAAAAUAGGGAACGAUUGACACACCAGACAACAAGAACAAGAUGCAAUUAAAUCUAAUGAAAAUUAAAAAAAGAAAAAAGAAAUACAUAUUCAAACAUAUUAAUGAAAAUCAUCCCCAAGUACGACACCGGAAGAGAAAGCAUUUUGGGUGGCUUGAUCCUCCCAUUGUAGCUCUUCCCACCAUUCUUUCUCUCCCUCGAUGACAACUCGACGUUCCUUCACGCUGCUGGAAUUGACUGGGAGCUUCUUCAGCUGUGGGCAUCCACGUACUUGAAUUUUCUUCAGCUUUGGAAGGGGCAGGGGAUUCGGGUAAACGCUCUUUAAAUUUCUUCCCCACUUUAUGGUUAGAGAUUCGAGUUGUGCAAAAAAGUUAUGCUCUGACCCGAUUAUCUCCGAAAUAUCUCUCAAUUUAUCAACACUAAUUAUUUCUUCCAUUUCUGUACAAAAGACUAUACGCAGCUGCUUGAGAAUUUGAACAAAAACUAGCCACGUUAAGUCUUUCAUUUUUUUGCAACUGCUUAUGACAACUCUGUCGAGACUGCGGAAACCACUUUGAAAAAGCUUCUUCACCUCUUCUGUGCUGUCAAUCUUCAUCUCUUCCAAGUUAAUGUCUUCAAGAUCUAACUCCUGAAGAUUCUCCAUGUAUGCGAGAUGUAAGAGAUUGAACGGUGCACUUUUACAAUGGUAAACCAAUACAAAUUGAGUGAUGCUCACCAGCUUUGGAUAUUUCAAAAACUUUUGGACAGCAAGUGAACUUCCGAAGGACCAGCUUAAAACAUUUAAAUGCUUCAAACCCAGCAAUUCCUUCAUCAAAGGUUCAGCACCAUCACAUAGAACGUUACCUUCUUUCCCUUUUAUUACCGAAAGCGACCGCACCCACGCAACCUGAGUACCUCCAACUUUGAAAAGCCAGAUAUCAAUUCAUGUGGAAUUAUAGACAAAUGAAAUGCAUAGUCCAAGUUCA